AGAGUUUGAUCCUGGCUCAGGAUGAACGCUGGCGGCGUGCCUAACACAUGCAAGUCGAACGAAGCUUGACGGAUGAUUUCUUCGGAAUGAAACUAGAUAUGACUUAGUGGCGGACGGGUGAGUAACACGUGAGCAACCUGCCUUUCAGAGGGGGAUAACGGCUGGAAACGGUCGCUAAUACCGCAUGAUGUGUUCGGAUGGCAUCAUCUGAACAUCAAAGAUUUAUCGCUGAAAGAUGGGCUCGCGUCUGAUUAGAUAGUUGGUGGGGUAACGGCCUACCAAGUCUACGAUCAGUAGCCGGACUGAGAGGUUGAACGGCCACAUUGGGACUGAGAUACGGCCCAGACUCCUACGGGAGGCAGCAGUGGGGAAUAUUGCACAAUGGGGGAAACCCUGAUGCAGCAACGCCGCGUGAAGGAUGACGGUUUUCGGAUUGUAAACUUCUUUUCUUAGUGACGAAGACAGUGACGGUAGCUAAGGAAUAAGCAUCGGCUAACUACGUGCCAGCAGCCGCGGUAAUACGUAGGAUGCAAGCGUUAUCCGGAUUUACUGGGUGUAAAGGGAGCGCAGGCGGGACUGCAAGUUGGAUGUGAAAUACCGUGGCUUAACCACGGAACUGCAUCCAAAACUGUAGUUCUUGAGUGAAGUAGAGGCAAGCGGAAUUCCGAGUGUAGCGGUGAAAUGCGUAGAUAUUCGGAGGAACACCAGUGGCGAAGGCGGCUUGCUGGGCUUUAACUGACGCUGAGGCUCGAAAGUGUGGGGAGCAAACAGGAUUAGAUACCCUGGUAGUCCACACUGUAAACGAUGAUAGCUAGGUGUGGGGGGUCUGACCCCUUCCGUGCCGGAGUUAACG
rnacentral:rRNA from 1 species